CGAAAGUCUGACCGAGCAACGCCGCGUGAGUGAAGAAGGUUUUCGGAUCGUAAAGCUCUGUUGUAAGUCAAGAACGUGUGUGAGAGUGGAAAGUUCACACAGUGACGGUAGCUUACCAGAAAGGGACGGCUAACUACGUGCCAGCAGCCGCGGUAAUACGUAGGUCCCGAGCGUUGUCCGGAUUUAUUGGGCGUAAAGGGAGCGCAGGCGGUCAGGAAAGUCUGGAGUAAAAGGCUAUGGCUCAACCAUAGUGUGCUCUGGAAGCUGUCUGACUUGAGUGCAGAAGGGGAGAGUGGAAUUCCAUGUGUAGCGGUGAAAUGCGUAGAUAUAUGGAGGAACACCAGUGGCGAAAGCGGCUCUCUGGUCUGUCACUGACGCUGAGGCUCGAAAGCGUGGGUAGCGAACAGGAUUAGAUACCCUGGUAGUCCACGCCGUAAACGAUGAGUGCUAGGUGUUACGCCCUUUCGGGGCUAGUGCCGGAGCUAACGCAAUAAGCACUCCGCCUGGGGAGUACGACGCAAGGUUGAAACUCAAAGGAAUUGACGGGGGCCCGCACAAGCGGUGGAGCAUGUGGUUUAAUUCGAAGCA
rnacentral:rRNA from 1 species